rnacentral:lncRNA from 10 species
GCAACAUGGUUAUGGGUACUACAGUGGAUGUGAGUGUGUAGACCUUGUACAAUAGAGCUUAUAGGCUAAUGAGAAGACAGGAAGAAACAACAGGAACACAUAUAGCUGGAAUGCAGAUGGGAUCUGUGCUACUUACGCUAGCCAUGGGAUGAUUAGAACAAGAUAAGAGACAUGAGGAAGACUUCUUCAAGGAGGUGCUCAAGCCAUGUUUUGGAAAAGAGAACUCAAGGUCUGGCAGGGAGAAAGGAGCAAGGUCCUCUUCUCCCUGAAGGCUGUCACAGUUCCUGUGCAGAGAGAGAGGGCACUGCAGCACCCAGGCGCUGACUGCCUUUUGUCAGUCUCAUUUGCAGGCCCCCAGCUGGAGAACCCAGGAGGAAGAGGAAAAAAGUUUUUUCCUCCUCUACACUCCCCAUGCAUGACUAAAGAGUAGGAGGAGUCAGCAAGGCAGACAUAUAUAGUACCCAGGAGGUGGACAAACAACUGCCUUGGUGGAAACUCUGUCCUUUCUGGACUUAUCCUGGUGCCACUGAGACUGUGCAGAUUUAGAUCUACAAUCCACCUGGAAUUGAUUUUUGUAUAUGGAGUGAGGUCCCACACUUACAGGGAAAGCAUCACCCGAAAGUGAGAAUGCCUAGAGGCAGGAAUCAUGGAGGCUUCCUUAACCGUCUGUCUGCAACAGCAGGUGCUAGAGAUGACACUGCAGAGUAGAGAACAAAGGAAUCUUAGUAAUUGUUCAAUCCAAUCUCCACACUUUAAAGAUGAAGAAACUGGUAUUGAGAAAAAUACACAGCUUAUCCAAGGUUGCACUGCUGGUUGGUAGCUGAGAUGAAUUUAGAACCCACAUCUGAUGACUACACCAUAUUGCUCCCAGUUUUCCUGUCUGUUCCACAUGUAAAAGUCUGACUCUUCACUUCUCCUUUGAGUAUAUAGACUUUUAACAUUUUUGUAUGUCAAGAUGGACUUUUCCUCAUACCCAGCCCCUGCCUUUUCUCCUCCCUUCAUACCUUGCAGGAUCUUUAACAGAAUUUAAAAGGAGUUUUUUGUUUUGUUUUGAUGUAUCUAAUAAAAGUCAAGGGAGGGAGAGGGCCAGUAUAAGCAAGAGUACAGUUUCCUAGUUUGUAGAUGCGGUAGUCUGAGGAAUCAGAAACACACAAAGGUUUGGAGAACUGGUACAUGCUCCCAGGUGGGAAGCCAGGACUCUUGGUAGGAUCUUGAGGACAAGGCAAAGGACAAUAAGAGAGCGAGGGGAUCCUAGAGGUGGAAUCAAGGAAGAGAAACUAGAGAGAGAAAAAGGAACUGGCUAUCCAUCCAUGAUGGAUCCUGUGUGGACUGAUGGGUGGCUUGGCAUCAUCCUUUAGUAGACUUCAUGUGGUUGAAUAAUUGGCCAAUGGAAGGAAUUUCUUUUUUGGUAACAGACUCUGUGUGUACAGUUAUGGGUCUUAAUUUAUAAUAAAAGGUUACAUUGAAAAUUGA